CGCCCUCUCUUGUUUUCCUGUUGAAAUUUUUUGUCACCGGGAAAGCUUUUUCUUCUGCUCUUUUCUUCUCUGUAUCUUAGAUUAUAUGAUUUUGUCCUUCUGCUCUUUUCUCAUCUGUCUCUUCGGCUAUAUGAUUUUAAUUCUGUUUCUUUUUCUUAUUUUCAGAUCCAGCAAAAUAUAAACAGGAAUUGAGGGAAGAAUUAAACUCUACAUUUUCAAUAAGCUGCUUCUAAUCGAACUUGAAUUCCUAUUUAAUUUUUGUCUCUCAUUCUGCAAGAGGUUGCUAUUCGUAAAUUCACCACUCCUGAUCAAUCUUGAAGACCUAUAUGAUUUGACAAAAUUGAAGUAAGCAAUAAUUAUGGUAGCAAAUCCUAAAAUACAAUCAAUUCUGAUGGAUCUUGAAGGCUUAUUUAUUAGGCAAUGGGCUUCAUCUAAAUCCCCCGAUUAUUAGACUGCUUGAUUUUAGAUGAGGGAGGACUUAUUCAGUUGCCGUAUAAGACAUCUUCCAGUUCGCUGGCUGAAUUAGCUGGUUUUCCACUUCCUAAUCACCCACUUAUUGUAGGAGUUCUUCCCCAACCCUGUUCUUGUGGAAACAGACAAGAUAUACUUAAAUUAUCUUAUUUAUGGUUUUGACCGUGGAUGUGAAAUUAGAAUUAAGGCUCAAUUUUU